CCUACGGGUGGCAGCAGUGAGGAAUAUUGGUCAAUGGACGCAAGUCUGAACCAGCCAUGCCGCGUGCAGGAAGACGGCUCUAUGAGUUGUAAACUGCUUUUGUCAGAGGGUAAACACAGAUACGCGUAUCUGUCUGAAAGUAUCGUACGAUUAAGGAUCGGCUAACUCCGUGCCAGCAGCCGCGGUAAUACGGAGGAUGAAAGCGUUAUCCGGAUUUAUUGGGUUUAAAGGGUGCGUAGGCGGUCGGUUAAGUUAGUGGUGAAAGCCCGAGGCUAAACUUCGGAAUUGCCUCUGAUACUGUUGGGCUAGAGAGUAGUGGCGGUAGGCGGAAUGUAUGGUGUGGCGGUGAAAUGCUUAGAGAUCGUACAGAACACAGAGUGCGAAGGCAGCUUACCAAGCUACUUCUGACGUUGGGGGACGAAAGCGUGGGGAGCAAACAGGAUUAGAUACCCUGUAGUC
rnacentral:rRNA from 1 species